rnacentral:misc_RNA from 1 species
GAUGUGCGAUUUCAAGAAGAAAGAAUAGCAUACGAGAUAUCGCUACAGGACGCCGUAGUGUUCUAUUCAGGGUACGGCCCCGUUCAAGGGACGAGCAUGUACUUCGACGCCUCAUGGAUGAUGGGCGCGACUUGUAAUGAACUGGUUCCGGGCGUUGAUUGCCCGGAAACAGCGGUGUUCCUUGACGCCGACUUCUUGACCAAUACACAGGAUCCCUGGAGGAUUCAGAACUCUGUGUGUAUCUUCGAGAAUACGGGAAACAUACCACUGCGACGUCAUUACACCAACUUUCCCGGGGGAUACUCGGGAUAUGCCGGUUUGGUGGACUACCAUCUCAUUGUACGGACCAUUACCAAUAUCUGGAAUUACGAUUACAUCUUUGACUACAUUUUUCAUCAGAACGGCGCUGUACAGGUAAGAGUGUCCGCCACAGGUUAUGUUCAAGCUACUUAUGCCCUGUAUGGAGAGAGGAAAUUUGGGUAUCCUAUUUACAAUGACGUAGUGGCUAAUAUUCACCAGCAUCUGUUCAACUACAAAGUAGAUCUUGAUAUAAACGGUGUUCAGAAUAGCUACGCUACACUCGAUGUAUCUACACAUAGAACGGAAGUGGCCUGGUCUAAAGGAGUUCACAAAACAGAAAUGGUGUUCGAGAAAAAUAUUCAAGAGAACGAGUUGGACGCUGGUCCUGGACAACUCAACAACACGAAACCAAAGUAUGACGUCAUCCUAAACAUGGAUGCCACCAGCAAAUUCAAGUCGGAGCGUGGCUAUCGAAUUCUCAAUCAUGGAAUAUCUAAGUUUAUUUUACAGGAGAACGAAGCCACGAAAGCAGCAAACUGGGCGAAAUACCCGCUGGCCGUUACAAAAUACCACGACUUUGAAGACACCAGUAGUUCUAUAUACGCUCAAAACGACCCUUGGGACCCACUGUUGGAUUUCGAUAAGUUUAUACAAAAUAACGACUCCAUUGUGAACACUGAUAUUGUAGCGUGGGUGACAAUGGGUCUGUUACACAUCCCCCAUACAGAGGAUGUCCCGUCGACCACCACGGCCGGAAGUCAGGUGACUUUUUAUCUACUUCCUUUCAACUAUUUUACGGAGUGUCCUAGUGUUUCAUCGCCAAACACUGUAAAGAUAACUCCAAAACGUGAAGGGGGAAUUAACCUGAACACACAUGGAACUUCCUUUGAAUCAACUUGUGUUCAGAAAUCAAACGGACCCGACAAGUACGAUGGCCGCUUACAUGACGUAGAACUAUGACGUCUGUGAUAUUGAUUAGGAUAUUCCAAUUAUAAUAUUUGUAUUUAUAUAAUAUAUAAACUACAUUUUAUAGAUAUAUAUGAAUGACUGUUUUAUGAUUCAUUAUAAUAAUGAAAAUUUAUACAU